rnacentral:rRNA from 1 species
GUGAGGAAUUUUCCGCAAUGGGCGAAAGCCUGACGGAGCAAUGCCGCGUGAAGGAUGAAGGCCUAUGGGUUGUAAACUUCUUUUCUCAGAAAAGAAUUAUGACGGUAUCUGAGGAAUAAGCAUCGGCUAACUCUGUGCCAGCAGCCGCGGUAAGACAGAGGAUGCAAGCGUUAUCCGGAAUGAGUGGGCGUAAAGCGUCUGUAGGUUGUUUAAAAAGUAUUCUGUCAAAGAUUAGGGCUUAACCCUAGAUAGGCAGAAUAAACUUUUAAGCUAGAGUUUGGUAGAGGCAGAGGGAAUUCCCGGUGGAGCGGUGAAAUGCGUAGAUAUCGGGAGGAACACCAAAGGCGAAGGCACUCUGCUGGGCCAAUACUAACACUGAGAGACGAAAGCGAGGGGAGCAAAUGGGAUUAGAAACCCGUGUAGUCC